UCCAGGUGGGCGCCUGCUACUGACUUGAAACUUGAAAUAAAUUUUCCCAUUCUCCAGGUAGGCGCCUGAUACCGACUUGAAACAAAUCCUGAAAUACUAACCCUCGUUCUCCAGGUAGGUGCCCGUUACUGACUUGAAACUUGAAAUGAAUUCCCUCAUUCUCCAGGUGGGCGCCUGCUACUAAAACUAAAAUUAACUUUGAAAUGAAUACCCUUGUUCUCCGGGUGGGUGCCUGCAAUCAAAACAAAUAAAGACUCGACUAGGAUGUGCAUCUCCUGUGAGUAAAACUAAGAAACUUAGACUAGGAAGUGUGUCUCCAAGGGGUAAAACUAGAAUGAUCCAAACUAGGAAGUGCGUCUCCUAGAGGUGAAACUUGAAUGACUCAAACUAGGAAGUGCGUCUCCUAGGGUGUCACGACCCAACUCCAUGUCAGGCCGUGAUGGCGUCCAGCACCGUUGCUGGACAAGCCAAUAAUGAACAACUUAGUGAUUUCCCAUUUUUGUUUAUUAAGCAAUUCUAACAUUUAGCUUUACUUACAUUUAAAGCAUUUGAUAAAUAACGGAUUUUUAAGGCAAACAAACGGAAACAUCUAAAAGCAGUUAUAACGAUUGAAUUACAACCCAAAAAUCAAAGUCUACUAAUACGUGCCAAGAUCUAGUGUCACAGGUUUGUAGGCAACUAGUAGAAUAUACAAAAGAUGACUAUCCUACUGUGUGAAACAGAAUAGACAGAUAAAAAUAAAAGAGAAACUCUGGCAUGCUACUGAAUGGCUCAGAAGGGGGCAGCUCACCGUAAAGUCUCGGUCCAAGAUCAGGCAUGUGCGCCGGGCAGGUAACUAGAUGCACCAGCCUCAGUUCCCGUACAAUUAAGUGCAAAAGCAUAGAAUGAGUACAUAAACAAUAUGUACCCAGUAAGUAUCCCACCUAACCUCGAAGAAGUAGUGACGAGGGGUCGACUUGAC
rnacentral:lncRNA from 1 species